rnacentral:tRNA from 1 species
GCCCUCGUAGUUCAAUGGACAGAACAAUAGUUUCCUAAACUGUAGAUACAAGUUCGAUUCUUGUCGGGGGUACAA